CGUGGCAAAGGUGCUGGAUACACGAGCGGCGGACGGCUGAGUAACGCGUAGGAACGUACCCCAAAGUGAGGGAUAAGCACCGGAAACGGUGUCUAAUACCGCAUGCGGUUUUCGGAUUAAAGCUUCGGCGCUUUGGGAACGGCCUGCGUAUGAUUAGCUAGUUGGUGAGGUAAAGGCUCACCAAGGCGACGAUCAUUAGCUGGUCUGAGAGGAUGAUCAGCCAGACUGGGACUGAGACACGGCCCAGACUCCUACGGGAGGCAGCAGUAGGGAAUUUUCCACAAUGGGCGCAAGCCUGAUGGAGCAACGCCGCGUGCAGGAUGAAGGCCUUCGGGUUGUAAACUGCUUUUAUCUGUGACGAUUAUGACGGUAGCAGAGGAAUAAGGACCGGCUAACUACGUGCCAGCAGCCGCGGUCAUACGUAGGGUCCAAGCGUUAUCCGGAAUUACUGGGCGUAAAGAGUUGCGUAGGUGGCAGAGUAAGUUGGUAGUGAAAUCGUGUGGCUCAACCAUACACACAUUACCAAAACUGCUCAGCUAGAAGAUGAGAGAGGUCGCUAGAAUUCCUAGUGUAGGAGUGAAAUCCGUAGAUAUUAGGAGGAAUACCGAUGGCGUAGGCAGGCGACUGGCUCAUUCUUGACACUAAGGCACGAAAGCGUGGGGAGCGAACAGGAUUAGAUACCCUGGUAGUCCACGCCGUAAACUAUGGAUGCUAGCUGUAAGCCGUAUCGACCCGGCUUGUAGCGAAGCUAACGCGUUAAGCAUCCCGCCUGUGGAGUACGGCCGCAAGGCUAAAACAUAAAGGAAUUGACGGGACCCGCACAAGCGGUGGAGCGUGUCCUUUAAUUCGAAGGUAAGCGAAGAACCUUACCAGGUUUGACAUCCUGCGAAUUUCUCCGAAAG
rnacentral:rRNA from 1 species